rnacentral:rRNA from 1 species
ACAUAGUCUUGAGACCGAUAGGGCACAAGUACCGUGAGGGAAAGGUGAAAAGGACUUUGAAAAGAGAGUUAAAAGUGUUUGAAAUUGCUGGAGGUGAAGUGAAUGGAGCCAGUAGCUUUGGGGGGAUUGUUUUAUGCUUGUUAAGGGGCCUGCCACCUUAGCGCAAGCAUGGUGAUGAGUCCUGCACUGCUUGCAUGAAAUGCAUCUUUCCUUGGGUGCAAAAGUCAUUUCGAAGCUGAGACCGCCCCCAGCAGUGUGCAAUUUUGGUAUCUGCUGGAUGAAUGCUGUUGGGCAAGCUCAUCUUUGAACUGAUCAAUUGUGCAUCUGGUUGCAAUGAAGCUUGUGUCCUUCAGCUGGCAGUACCAUACGUCUACGGCCGCAUGAUCCACUGCCUGGGGCGCAUCCCAGACGCAAUUUAUGUUGCAAGGGCUUCUUUCGACCCGUCUUGAAACACGGACCAAGGAGUCUGACGCAUCUGCAAGUUCAUGGUUGGAGAGACCUGUGUGCGCAAUGAAAGUAACAGCUGGGAGAUAUUCGCGCCAGCAACUGAUGUGCCAAUUACUGCAGAUUUGAGUAUGAGCAGAUUCGUCAGGACCCGAAAGAUGGUGAACUAUGCUUGAGGAGGGUAAAUUCAGGGGAAACUCUGAUGGAGGCUCGUAGCGGUACUGACGUGCAAAUCGUUCGUCACACUUGGGUAUAGGGGCGAAAGACUAAUCGAACCAUCUAGUAGCUGGUUCCCUCCGAAGUUUCCCUCAGGAUAGCUGGAGCUGAACAGUUUUGUCAGGUAAAGCGAAUGAUUAGAGGAAUCGGAGACAUGAUGUUUUCGACCUAUUCUCAAACUUUAAAUGGGCAAGAUCUGGUUGUUCCUGAAUUGAACUUCUGGGACAAAUAUAAUCUUUAAGUGGGCCAUUUUUGGUAAGCAGAACUGGCCAAUGAGGGAUGAACCUAACGUUGGGGAAAUGCGCUUAACUGCUCCCUCAUCAGAUACCAU